rnacentral:rRNA from 1 species
AAAGUGGAGCAAUCCAUGAGUACAGUGGCGUACGGGUGAGUAACACGUGGGUGAUCAACCUUUUAGUGAGGAAUAACCGAGGGAAACUUUGGCUAAUACCGCAUAAGCCCGAGAGGGGAAAGCAGAAAUGCGCUGAAAGAGGAGCCCGCGGCCGAUUAGCUAGUUGGUGGGGUAAGAGCCCACCAAGGCAGAGAUCGGUAGCCGGCCUGAGAGGGCACACGGCCACACUGGCACUGAAACACGGGCCAGACUCCUACGGGAGGCAGCAGUGGGGAAUCUUGCACAAUGGGGGAAACCCUGAUGCAGCGACGCCGCGUGAGCGAUGAAGCCCUUCGGGGUGUAAAGCUCUUUCGUCAGGGAAGAUCGUGACGGUACCUGGAGAAGCAGCUGCGGCUAACUACGUGCCAGCAGCCGCGGUAAUACGUAGGCAGCAAGCGUUGUUCGGAGUUACUGGGCGUAAAGGGUGUGUAGGCGGUUCUUUAAGUUUGGUGUGAAAUCUCCCGGCUCAACUGGGAGGGUGCGCCGAAUACUGAGGGACUAGAGUACGGGAGAGGAAAGUGGAAUUCCUGGUGUAGCGGUGAAAUGCGUAGAUAUCAGGAGGAACACCGGUGGUGUAGACGGCUUUCUGGACCGACACUGACGCUGAAACACGAAAGCGUGGGUAGCAAACAGGAUUAGAUACCCUGGUAGUCCACGCCCUAAACGAUGCAUAUUUGGUGUGGGCAGUUCAUUCUGUCCGUGCCGGAGCUAACGCGUUAAAUAUGCCGCCUGGGGAGUACAGUCGCAAGGCUGAAACUC